AUGCUGGUUCUGGCGCCCUAUGAGGUGCCGAAGAACAAGGCCAAGGAGAAGGCCACGGGGACCAGGAAAAGUCUUUGGCGCAAGGUGGUGUCAGACUCAUCAUUCGAAGACACCGAGGCACACUCCUCCAACGACAAUGAGAAGGAAGAAGAGGAAAACCCUCUCCCUCAAACCGAGGGGGAGAAGAAAAGGAAGGCCGCCCCCUCCGGGGAGGCCGAAGGGUCGAAGAAGGGAAUGACCCUCCCUCCGGACCACUCCACAAUCGCCGCCUAUAGCGAGGAGGAGUGGCUACCCAGGGCCAAGUCCCUGGCGAAGUCGUAA
rnacentral:rRNA from 1 species